UUUUAUGCUAAAUAUAUUGAAUAAGUUAAAUAUAACUAAGACAAACCCAUACUCUGCAUAUCUGACAUGAAUUAUUUGAGGUCUGAAGACUGGAAGACACUAUGAAAUGAAAAGCGUGUCAACAAUUUGACAUUUCUUUCUCCAUGCUUCCACUUUUCCAAACUUUUUCAUGAAUGUCACCUUAUUUCAUCUUGCAACAGCCACUGAGGUAAAUAGGUAAGUAUUUAUCUCCCCUUUUUUUUGACUGAGGAAAUUGUGCUACACAGUUACGUGUGUAUCACUUAUGGUCAAAAGCUAAUAAAAUCAAGAAAUGUUUUCAAACUAAAAAUGUAUAAAUAUUGAAUACUAUUCAAUCUUUUAUUCAGCAAGCAUCGAUCCGUGCUUCCUUCAACCCACAUAUCUAUUAAUUUAUCCAAUGCUGAAUACUAUUUCUAUACUUCAUAAGCAUUGGACUCCUUGCUAUUAUUCCUUUAAAAAUAACUAAGAAACUAUUAUUUUUAUUAGUGAGUCUGUGUGUGCACAAACAAGGCAGAAAACAACAGAAUAAAAUACCCAGGGACACUGAAAAGGAAUAAAUCCAAAUUGUAGCAUUUUGGUUGGUCAGGGGAAAGAGUGGUCAGUGUGGUUUAGGUAGGAAAGGCUUGCCAAAGAUAACAGGACUUAUUGCUUACUCUUCUAGUUACAUGUCCUGCAGUCAUAGAAAUAUGCAGACUAAAGUCAGUGUAAAAAACAUUUUCCGCUUCCCCACAUGAUAACUGUAAUCCUUUGCAACUCAAGGGCCCUAUAGGGUUUUAAUAGACAGUUAUUACAUAACAUUUUCUAUGUUUACUUCUGUUAAUUUGUAUUUGUAACCACAGAGAAUAGAUUCUAAUUCCCUGCAGUACAGGAACUCUGAAGCUUUACUUCCCCUUUACAAUGGUCAAAAGCCUGAGAAAUCAUAAAGAGCAACAUGAUAUGAAAAAAUAAAAACAAUAAAGCAACUUUUAAUAUCUUCUUCCAUCCUAUGUAGGCUUUUGUAGUGGUGCAACAUUUCUUACUUAACCUAUUCAUAAACUGCCAGUUGGACAUCUGUGUAAUACAGGUGUUAUUCAUUGCUUCCCAGGCCACUUAUCUUCUAAGGGAUUAAGACUCUACCCGCCUGGUGCG
rnacentral:lncRNA from 10 species